AGUGAACGCUGGCGGUAGGCCUAACACAUGCAAGUCGAACGGCAGCACAGUAAGAGCUUGCUCUUACGGGUUGCGAGUGGCGGACGGGUGAGGAAUACAUCGGAAUCUACUUUUUCGUGGGGGAUAACGUAGGGAAACUUACGCUAAUACCGCAUACGCCCUACGGGUGAAAGCAUGGGAUCUUCGGACCUUGCGCGAUUGAAUGAGCCGAUGUCGGAUUAGCUAGUUGGCGGGGUAAAGGCCCACCAAGGCGACGAUCCGUAGCUGGUCUGAGAGGAUGAUAAGCCACACUGGAACGGGAACACGGUCAAGACGCCUAAGGGAGGCAGCAGUGGGGAAUAUUGGACAAUGGGCGGAAGCCUGAUCCAGCCAGACCGCGUGGGUGAAGAAGGCCUUCGGGUUGUAAAGCCCGUUUGUUGGGAAAGAAAAGCAGCAGGUUAAGACCACGCUGGUCUGACGGUACCCAAAGAAUAAGCACCGGCUAACUUCGUG
rnacentral:rRNA from 1 species